rnacentral:rRNA from 1 species
CCUACGGGAGGCUGCAGUGAGGAAUAUUGGUCAAUGGACGAGAGUCUGAACCAGCCAAGUAGCGUGAAGGAUGACUGCCCUAUGGGUUGUAAACUUCUUUUAUAAAGGAAUAAAACGAGGCACGUGUGCCUUUUUGCAUGUACUUUAUGAAUAAGGAUCGGCUAACUCCGUGCCAGCAGCCGCGGUAAUACGGAGGAUCCGAGCGUUAUCCGGAUUUAUUGGGUUUAAAGGGAGCGUAGAUGGGUUGUUAAGUCAGUUGUGAAAGUUUGCGGCUCAACCGUAAAAUUGCAAUUGAUACUGGCAGUCUAGAGUACAGUUGAGGUAGGCGGAAUUCGUGGUGUAGCGGUGAAAUGCGUAGAUAUCACGAAGAACCCCGAUUGCGAAGGCAGCUUACUAAACUGUGACUGACAUUGAUGCUCGAAAGUGUGGGUAUCAAACAGGAUUAGAUACCCCAGUAGUC